GAUGAACGCUGGCGGCGUGCUUAACACAUGCAAGUCGAACGAAGCUGUUAUUUGGAGACCUUCGGGUGGAAGAAUAACAGACUGAGUGGCGGACGGGUGAGUAACGCGUGGGUAACCUACCUUGCACAGGGGGACAACAGUUGGAAACGACUGCUAAUACCGCAUAAGACCACAGUACCACAUGGUACAGGGGUAAAAACUGAGGUGGUGCAAGAUGGACCCGCGUCUGAUUAGCUAGUUGGUGGGGUAAAGGCCUACCAAGGCGACGAUCAGUAGCCGACCUGAGAGGGUGAUCGGCCACAUUGGGACUGAGACACGGCCCAAACUCCUACGGGAGGCAGCAGUGGGGAAUAUUGGACAAUGGGGGGAACCCUGAUCCAGCGACGCCGCGUGAGUGAAGAAGUAUUUCGGUAUGUAAAGCUCUAUCAGCAGGGAAGAAAAUGACGGUACCUGACUAAGAAGCCCCGGCUAACUACGUGCCAGCAGCCGCGGUAAUACGUAGGGGGCAAGCGUUAUCCGGAUUUACUGGGUGUAAAGGGAGCGCAGACGGCUUGGCAAGUCUGAAGUGAAAGCCCGGGGCUUAACCCCGGGACUGCUUUGGAAACUGUGAAGCUAGAGUGUCGGAGAGGUAAGUGGAAUUCCCAGUGUAGCGGUGAAAUGCGUAGAUAUUGGGAGGAACACCGGUGGCGAAGGCGGCUUACUGGACGAUAACUGACGUUGAGGCUCGAAGGCGUGGGGAGCAAACAGG
rnacentral:rRNA from 1 species